ACUCUCUCUAUUUCUCUUUCACACUCACACUGAGCGAGUGAUUGAGAUUUGAGAGUUCCGAUUUGACAAUCCAAUCCACACAAGAAUGGGGGAAAACUACUGCAAUUCCAGAGGAUUUUCAAGGAUAAUGAAAUCCUGUUUUCCAAAUCCACAGCAAGAAUCUCAUCACCUGAUCAUCAAACCAUCAAUCAGAAAUCGUUUGUUAGAAGAUGAUCAGAAAUCUUCAUCAUUCUUCAUAUCGGUACUUCCUGAUGAUUUGCUUCAAGAAUGUUUAUCGAGAGUCCCAUCAUCAUCACUCUCAUCAGUUUCCCUUGUCUGUAGAAAAUGGUUCGGAAUACUGAACUCAACGUUAUAUUUCGACCUACGGCGGAGUCUCGGUCAUAUCCGCCGGAAAAUCUACGCGUUUAGUGUGACUGAUUACGGUGUUUAUGCUGCGAAUCACUGUGUAAAUGAUGGCGAAUCUGAUGAGAGUCAUGAAGAAGAAGUUGAUUCGUCUUCGUCUUCAGCUGGUUGGAGUUUGAGUAGUCCGUUUAGCGCGGCCGGAAUGUUAACUCAGGGUUCGUUUUCUCACUCGCGGGUGAUUUCAGUUGGGAAAGUGAUUUAUAUUGUGAAUAGAGAUGUCACGCUUGGUUACGAUGUGUGGAUGGGUGUGAUUACGGUGAAAUCUCCGAUGCUUUAUCCGAGGAAGAAAUUUGCAAUGGCGAAUGUCAACGGGAAGAUUUACAUUUCCGGUGGAGCAGCACGGAAUGAAGUGGUGGAGGAGUAUGAGCCGGAGACAGAUACGUGGAGAGUGGUUUCGGAAGCGCCGAGGAGGAGAUAUGGUUGCAUUGGAGCAGCUGUGGACGGAGUGUUCUAUGUGAUUGGCGGGUUGAAGAUUGGCGGCGGCGGUAAUGGGAAAAAUGAGAUGGUGACUCGGGGAGGUUGUUCGGAGGCGCAUUUGUAUGCGAGUUCGAUGGAUUUGUUUGAUGUGCAGAGUAGGGUGUGGAUGAGGAGCCGGACAGUGCCAGGAGGUGGAUGUGUUGUGGCGGCAUGUGCAGCGGGGGGUUAUGUUUACAUUUUGGCAAGUCAUGCUGUUGAAUUGUCAUUUUGGAGGUUUGAUGGGAGAAGGAAACGAAAUGGUGGUGGUGGUGGGUUUGGCAAGUGGUGUAGGAUGAAGAGUCCGCCGUUGCCGGCACAAGUUAGAUUGGAUAGUAGUGUUAGGUUUAGUUGUGUUGGAAUUGGUGGCGAGAAUUAUAGCGGUGGCAAUGAUAAUAAGGUGGUGUUGGUUCAAGUUUUGGGAUGUAUUGAUGAUUUAUUGAGGAGAAGCCGAAGGAGUUGUAGAGGGAUGAAGGAAGGAUUGGUUUUGGUUUAUGAUGGCAAUGUGGAGGAGUGGUCAAGAGGUGUUGAUUUGCCCGAAGUUAUCCGCCGUGCUUCUUGUGUUUCCGUUGAGUGCUAAUUCGCAACAAAAUGAUGGAUGUUUUCAUUCAAGUCUGGGUCUGGCCAUGAGAAUUAGGAAACACGGUGCAGAUCUUUGUUCAGAAUCAGCCUGCUGCUGCCUGGAACAAACUCGAGCACCCAGUUCAUCAGCAACAAGUCAUCUCCCAAACAAAACACAUGGUGUGAAUUGUUGCAUUUUCAUGACAGCAAGCACUACAUUAUUAGGUGAAGUUACAAGAGCUAAAAGGCACUGUAAUGCAAGAUGGAAUGAGAACAGUGGGGGUUAUAUUGAAAAUAAUCCUUCGCCAAAUAAACAUUUUUUAGAAACUCGCUGUUAGAUUGUUGUUGAAAUUCUUCUUGAUUUCAAUAUGUUUAGAGUCUGCUACAAUUUUCCAUCUGUACAUUUUUUUGGCCCAGCCAACCACGUCCAUCCCUGGGCUCUGCCAUUUUUUAUACUGUUCAUAGGUGAUGAUUCAGAGGUUACAGAAAAAUAAAUAAAGGCAUGCUACAAGUUUGUGC